UCCACUUCCAAACAUCCUUUUCCACUUCAAUUUUUGCUAUAUCGCCCUUUUCCAUACACACCAUCGACAAUGGCCGGCCUCCCCAUCCGGUGGCAUAUCCUCCAAAAGGCUCACUCUUAGGCCAAUAUUUUUCCCUAUUUUUCCAGACCUUUUCCUCAUCUGACUCCUCAGCUAACUUGCCCUCAAUAGGUCUGCCCUCCAAAAGCGCCUGCUCUUUGGCAAUAAGUGAUGCUGGGCGGGGGCGGAACUCUUCAGCUUCAUUGAGGAUGAUGUUGCACUGUUUGUCGACGCAUGUAAAAUAGCCCUUGAUGAUACGGCCGUCGAUGAGGGAGAUGGUCAGAACUUGACCGAUGAGAGCUCGGAGAGAAGGACGGGGUGGUUCUUUUGAUGAGUCCUCUUGAGGCAUUGGGGAUGAGGGCGAUGGAAGAUAAUUUAAGAAGCGAUUUGAGAUGACGUGGGAGACGCGGACAGUUGAUUGCUGGGGCCGUCGGAGGAAUGCCGACAGCUCGCUGCAGAAAAAAGUUGAGGAUGCAUAAUACGGAAAGAAUCAUUCUGCUAUCAAUCAUAUCAAGGUUCAAAAUUAUCCAAAACAGCUUAUCCCUUGAAGUCCUUGGCAAUCUUGCUCUUCCAGCCAACGGCACGCUCGAACCCAUUCUUUCCUGUCUGAUAGUCCAUAAUAGCUUCCAUAGCUUGUCUUUGACUGCAAGUGACGAAAGGGCCAUACUGAAAAAAGACUGCUGGUCGAGAGGUUUUCCGGCAACGACAACAAAAUGCGCUUCUUCUGCAUCAGUGUCAUCUGCCGGCCUGGUAAGGGUCACGCCAGACUCUCCAGCCUUGGCAGAAAGAACAAGCAAAUUGAACUUGUCAUGAGCCUUGGUGUCGUCGCCGACUUGCAACUUUCCCUUCACAACUGUUUUAGAAUUUGUUAGCAAUAGGCCAGUACAAUGAAGUUAAAGAGGCAUACUAUAGAUGAAAGCAUUGUAACCUUCAGGAAGGGGCUGAUACACGCUCGCUCCGGGCUUUUGAAGCUUGAAACCCAAGUACCAAGCGCCGCCCACAGGAGUAACAGAGCCAUUGGUACCGUGAGAGUCACCAGAUAGAACAGUGAUUUCUAUUCCAUCCUUGGGAUGGAUAACCGGAAUACUAUGCACAUAUCAUCAGC
rnacentral:sRNA from 1 species